rnacentral:rRNA from 1 species
CAAUAGCGUAUAUUAAAGUUGUUGCGGUAAAAAAGCUCGUAGUUGGAUUUCUACCGAAGAUAGCCGGCCGGGUCUUCGACCUUGUAUCUGGUUUUGUCUUUGGUAUCCUCAUAGGGAACGUUUCUGCGCUUUAUUGCGUGGUGCGGUAUCUAUGACUUUUACUUUGAGGAAAUUAGAGUGUUCACGGCAGGCAAACGCCUUGAAUAUAUUAGCAUGGAAUAAUAACAUAGGAUCUUCGUCCUAUUUUGUUGGUUUCUAGGGCUAAGAUAAUGAUUAAUAGGGAUAAUUGGGGGCAUCUGUAUCAACGCGUCAGAGGUGGAAUUCUUGGAUUGCGUUGCGACAAACUACUGCGAAAGCAUUUGCCAAGGAUGUUUUCAUUGA